CACCUUGACAAUGAUGAUCUCGUCUCCGACAUCCUUGCUAGUAUGGAUGUUGAUUUUAAUCCCGUUGUGACGCUAGUUGCAAACCGGACUGAAGCUAUCACUGUCGGUGAACUCUUUACUCAACUUGUUAACUUCGAAA
rnacentral:snoRNA from 1 species